UCUGUCCUGAGAUUGAGAAGACGGAGCCAGGAUGACAAUCAGUCUUUGGGGACCGAAAAGAAGCCUGCAGUGACCGAUCGCACCCAAAGGAGCACCCAGGCCCGGGGAGGCCAGCUGUGGGAACGCGGCCUGACUGGCAUGGAAUGAAAGGUUUUUAACCACAUGGAGCAAAUCAGUCUCUGGGCUCUGCCAAGAAGGAAUCUGGAAGGGACACAGUUAUGGAGAUUACGACAAGAGAGAUGAUUAGGGACUUGGGGAGUUCUUUUUUUAAGGACUUGCUAAGGAAAUGGGACUGUAAUUAGAAAGGGAAGCAGGCUUUCUCUCUCUUUAUCUCUCUUUCUUUCUUAGGUGAACUAAAAAGCUUCGGUAAAUACACACCAAGAAUCUAUGAAAACUUCCAAAUCAGUGGGAAAAUGUUCCAACUUCAAAAAUCGCUAAUGAAUACGUCUCCCAAAGCAAAGGAAAGCUGCAUCUGAAGAAUCUGUCUCCCGGUUACCUGUCAAGUCAGGUGCUUCAGGAUUUUUCGUGCUGAAUCGAACCCAGUGCCUCACACAUGCUAGCAUCAUUCUCUGGAGUUUCGAUUGGAGAGACCUUCAUGAAAAUGAUGUUUGGAUCACACAUUUGCGUCUUUCCCCAUGCAUUCUAAUGUCACGCAGGACAAAUAUGGAUAACACUAGCCAGCAUGACUUGAGGACUUCGCCUGUGACCUGCACUGUGUUAAACAUUCCAUCCUAAACACACAGUUGAAUCUCCACAGCUCCUCUAUCGGUUACUGUGACCUGGAAGGAGAAGAAAAGCAAAUGGAGCUGCUAAUAUUCCAGUCUUAGACGUUGCUGAAGUCAGAAGACGGAACAGGGACUUUUAAUGGGAUUGAGGACAAAUUUCAGAUGCACUCUGGUUGAAAACCCAAUGCAGCUUGGCUGCACUAGAAGGGAUGGUGGUGGAGAGAGGGGAGACCUAACUUACCAGCAGAUGGCGAAUAAACCAGAAAGAGAUAAAGGUAAGCUUUGGGCCCAGUUAAUCUCAGCUCUUAUUAAUGCAUCAAAAUCAAAGUUACCGUUAAAUGAAUCAAAAUCUAGUUUGAUAUACACGAGGAAGUGGACUAGCAGGAUGGAAAGGAAGAGGAAAUCGGAGCCAGAGAGCUCAAGGUCCGAAGUAGACUUCAUGAUUUCUUCACUGUGUGGUUUUGGGCAAAUGAUACAAAAGCACCCGCUCAGAAAAGCUCAGCCCUGGCCUUUUCAUCUGUGUGAUUGCAAUGGGAAGACUUAGCACGCAGGAUGCAGGGAGGGAAAACAAUACAGCAGUUAGCAAGGUCUCUUCCAACUUCUUGUAACACUGGAGAAAAGCUUCCAGAUUUUCUUGUUUUUCAAACAUUGGCUUUUCUGCUCAGUCCUCUUGGAUGUUCUUAGUGUCUGCCCUGGGUUGACAUCAGAUGCCAGGUCCGUCUCCUGCAGAAAAGCAUCCUGACCAUGGACAGUUCAUUUCAGAGAUAUUGGAGCUGAGAAUGUUGCUCAUCCUAAGCAGCUUCUGAAAACCCUGCACCCAAGUGACUUAAAUUUCCCACAAUCCAUGCAUACGAGGGGAAGUACCACCCAAUGUACCACCACAAUGCCUCAGCGCUCAUGCUUCAUUUCCCUACCCCCCAGGACCAGUUUUCUUAGGAAAUGGGAUUCUAGGCCACCUGGAUGACUAUGCAUGUUGUAUACCUCACAACUCCAGAGAGUGCUGUCAACAUGAAAGGUGCACUAUGCAGUUCACUAUGUGCCGUGGCCUUGGAUUUGUAAUCCCUCUUCUGACUUAAGGUUUUCAGUACUUUCUCAGCAGGGAAGCUUCCCCGGGAGGUCUCUCCAGAGGCUCCCUUGCUGCACAUCUCAAGGCUCUAAGGUGAGUCCCUUGGUCACAGAAAGCCCACAACUGAACUCCCUCCUCCUGUGGAAGACGGCCUCCUGCCACCUGGUGGUUGGCAGAAUCUCUUGCGUAACGAAAGAGCUCUCACCCAAAUGGAACUGUCUCUAAACCUUGACCCAAAUUCCAGUUACCCUUAGUAAUUUUCAGCAGCAAAAAUGUGAAGAAUCCAAGAAUUGGUGGGCUAUUCAUGCAGAAUUGAACACAGAUGAAUUCUUUAAAAUGACGAACGGUAUGUCUCAGAACAUUGAAGCAACUAGAUUGUCAUCACUUUUCUUUGUGGUCAUAUUUUGAAUGCUGGCAAAUGCCUAGCUUACAGAAUUGGGAUUUCUUUCCUCUUAGCACAACAGGAAGUGUUACCCAUAAAACAGAGAUUGAUUUUGCAUUAUUACCAGAGUUAUACAAAAACACAGUUGGGUACAAUAAUAUUUGUGACAACAACCCCUAUCUUAUGGAGAUUUCUAAUAGCCUCGGUUCUGUAAUUGUUCAUUCAGAUGCUCAUGUCAAGAAGUGUAGGUGACAGCUUUAAGGUAUGUUGACAACUACGUGUCCUGAAAGUGCAUGUCCCUUGAGACUCAGAGUCCACAAAGUCAUGAUCAUUCUAAAAUACCUACCACUCCAGAAUUCUGCAUUCCUUCCAGAUGAUAAUUGGUAAUUGCUUUUCCUCAUGGGGACAAACAGGUUUCCUCUCUUCAUAUCAUGAUGAAACAGGUUUGGGGUGAUUGUGAGCCUUACACCAUUGUGUGGUGAUGAGUGAUAAUGAGGAAGACCUGGUGUGGUUCUUGGUGGAUAAAAGAGACACAAGCAUGUGAGUUCCCUCUGAUACCCACCAGGACCCGGUGAGGUAGCCGUGUGAUGGUUCUUCCUUCCCAGACGAGGAAGCAGAGACCCAGGAUGCGAGUCU